GGUGAGUAACACGUGAGCAACCUGCCCUGGACUCUGGGAUAAGCGCUGGAAACGGCGUCUAAUACUGGAUAUGAGCCUCUAUCGCAUGGUGGGGGUUGGAAAGAUUUUUUGGUCUGGGAUGGGCUCGCGGCCUAUCAGCUUGUUGGUGAGGUAAUGGCUCACCAAGGCGUCGACGGGUAGCCGGCCUGAGAGGGUGACCGGCCACACUGGGACUGAGACACGGCCCAGACUCCUACGGGAGGCAGCAGUGGGGAAUAUUGCACAAUGGGCGAAAGCCUGAUGCAGCAACGCCGCGUGAGGGAUGACGGCCUUCGGGUUGUAAACCUCUUUUAGCAGGGAAGAAGCGAAAGUGACGGUACCUGCAGAAAAAGCGCCGGCUAACUACGUGCCAGCAGCCGCGGUAAUACGUAGGGCGCAAGCGUUAUCCGGAAUUAUUGGGCGUAAAGAGCUCGUAGGCGGUUUGUCGCGUCUGCUGUGAAAUCCCGAGGCUCAACCUCGGGCCUGCAGUGGGUACGGGCAGACUAGAGUGCGGUAGGGGAGAUUGGAAUUCCUGGUGUAGCGGUGGAAUGCGCAGAUAUCAGGAGGAACACCGAUGGCGAAGGCAGAUCUCUGGGCCGUAACUGACGCUGAGGAGCGAAAGGGUGGGGAGCAAACAGGCUUAGAUACCCUGGUAGUCCACCCCGUAAACGUUGGGAACUAGUUGUGGGGACCAUUCCACGGUUUCCGUGACG
rnacentral:rRNA from 1 species